rnacentral:lncRNA from 1 species
ACAGUCGCCAGAUCCAGUUCCAAGUGCCGAACCGAACGCGGAGCCAGGAGAUGCAGUCUCACUCUGUGGCCCAGGCUGGAGUGCAGUGGCGUGAUCUUGGCUCACUGCAACCUCCAUCUCCUGAGUUCAAGCAAUUCUCCUGUCUCAGCCUCCUAAAUAGUUGGAAUUACAGGCAAGCACCACCACGCUCAGCUACAGGAAUUUAGCCAAUUCAGAGGAAAUCUUCCCCAUAAUUAUGGAACUUUCUUACAGAUUUUACCAAGUCUGGUCAACCCAAUAAGAAAAAGACUGAAAUAACAACAACAACUUCAACAAAUAAAAAAAAACAGUUAAGCUAAAUAAACAGAUGAUUGCAGAAUUUAUGUGAUUACUGGGUACUCUAAUGGUAAGGAGAAAUUAAGACCAGCUAGUUGUUAAUCUUAACUUUUAGUCAUUAAGGAGAAUUUCCAAGACAAAACUGCAAUCCAGCUGCUUACCUAGGAAUACGGCUUAGGCUGAAAACUUCUAUCGUCUUAGAAAUGGGAAUAAACCUCACACUCACCGUCCCUGUUGGAAGCAAGCUGAAACUCCAAAAAAAAAGUUGCCUGUUGUCCAUCAUCAUGGUGAAGCGGCGUCGUUGUCUGGGAACCCAAUUGGAGACGUUGGAUAUUUUAUCAAGUCUUUGACUGGAAUGACAUUUUUUCAGAAAUAACCAGACUGCUUUGAGGAAUUAAAAUUGACUUUAAGGGCUGAGAAAAACCCCUUGGAAAAACUGGCAUGGUACCCUCUGCAUGCAAUUCCUUUACAAAGCUCCUGACCUGUGUUCUGAAGGCUGGGAAGUCCAAGAUUAAGGCGUCAACAGGUCUUGUGUCUGCUGAGGGCUGUCUCCCUGAUUUGCAGAUGUCUGCUUUCUUGCUGUGUCCUCACAUGGGAAAAAGAGAGAGAAUUUGCUGGUAUUCCUUUUUAUAAGGACACUAACCCCAUUCAUGAGGGUCCCACCCUCAUGACCUCGCCUAAACCUAUAACCUCCAAGGACUCCAUUUCCAAAUACCAGCAACCACAUGUGUGAGCUUAGAAGAGGAUCCUUCCCCAGGUGAGCCUUGAGAUGACCCUGGCCUGUGACUUGAUGGCAGCUUUUGAGAGACUGAGCCAGAGGCCUCCAGGUAAGCCCUUCUCAGAUUCCUGAACCACAGAAACUGUGAGAUAAUCAAUUUUAUUGAUAUCUUGUGGAUAUUGAUAUCCCCAGUUUUAUUGUGGAAUAGAUAACUGCCACACAGCUCCUGACAACUGGCAUCUUGACACAUGUUCUGUGCUCCAGGUCCCAGUAACUGUGCCCAUCCAUUGUUACCACAGGUCACAGUGGCCCUGGCCCUGGGGCAUUAUACUCUCUCUUGGUGUAUUAGUCCAUUCUUAGGCUGCUAAUAAAGAUAUAUCUGAGACUGGGUAAUGUAUAAAGAAAAAGAGGUUUAAUGGACUCACUGUUACAUAUGGCUGGGGAGACCUCACAAUCAUGGAGGAAGGUGAAGGAGGAUCAAAGGCACAUCUUACAUGGUGGCAAGACAGAGAGCAUGUGCAGGGGAAUUGCCCUUUAUAAAACCAUCAGAUCUCAUGAGACUUAUUCACUAUCAUGAGAACAGCAUGGGAAAAACCCGCCCGCAUGAUUCAAUUACUUCCCACUGAAUCCCUCCCAUGACACAUGGGGAUUAUGGGAGCUGCAAUUCAAGAUGAGAUUUUGGGGGAAGGGCAUAGCCAAACCAUAUCAUUCUUCCCUGGGCCCCUCCCAAAUGUCAUGUCCUCACAUUUCAAAAUACAAUCAUGCCUUCCCAACAGUCCUCCAAUGUCUUAACUCAUUUCAACAUUAACCCAAAAGUCCAAGUCCAAAGUCUCAUCUGAGACAAGGCAAGUCCCUUUCGCCUAUGAGUCUGUAAAAUCAAAAGCAAGUUAGUUAUUUUCUAUAUACAAUGGGGGUACAGGCAUUGAAUAAAUAUUCCCAUUCCAAAUAAGAGAAAUUGGCCAAAACAAAGGGGCUCCAGGCCCCAUGCAAGUCUAAAAUCCAGCAGGGCAGUCAAAUCUUAAAGCUCCAAAAUGAUCUCUUUUGACUCCAUGUCUCACAUCCAGGUCACAUUGAUGCAAGAGGUGGGUUCCCAUGGUCUUGGGUAGCUCCAUCCUUGUGACUUUGCAGGGCACAGCUCCCCUCCCAGCUGCUUUCGCGGGCUGGCAUUGAGUGGCUGUGGCUUUUCCAGGUUCAUGGUGCAAACUGUCAGUGGAUCGACCAUUCUGGGGUCUGGAGGACAGUGGCCCUCUUCUCACAGCUCCACUAGGCAGUGCCCAAUGGAGACUCUGUAUAGGGGCUUCCACCCCACAUUUCCCUUCCACACUGCCCUAGCAGAGGUUCUCCAUGAAGGCUCUGCCCCUGCAGCACACCUCUGUCUGGACAUCCAGGCAUUUCCAUACAUCCUCUGAAAUCUAGGCAGAGGUUUCCAAACUUCAAUUCUUGACUGCUAUGCACCUACAGGCUCAACACACCAUGUGGAAGCUGCCAAAGCUUAGGGCUUGCACCCUCUGAAUCCACGGCCUGGGCUGUACCUUGGCCCUUUUAGCCAUGGCUGGAGCAGCUGGGAUGCAGGGCACCAAGUCUAAAGGCUGCACACAGCAGGCGGGCCCUGGACCCAGCCCAGGAAACCAUUUUCCCUCCCAGGCCUCUGGGCCUGUGAUGGUAGGGGCUGUUGCAAAGGUCUCUGACUUGCCCUGGAAAUAUUUUCCCCAUUGUCUUGGUGAUUAGCAUUUGGCUCCUUGUUACUUAUGCAAAUUUCUGCAGCUGGCUUGAAUUUAUCCUCAGAAAAUGGGUUUUGCUUUUGUGCUGCAUUGUCAGGCUGCAAAUUUUUCAAACUUUUAAGCUCUGCUUCAUCUUGAACACUUUGCCACUUUGAAAUUUCUUCUACCAGAUACUUUAAAUCAUCUCUCUCAAGUUCAAAGUUCCACAGAUCUCUAGGGCAGGGGCAAAAUGUCACCAGUCUCUUUGCAUAGCAAGAGUGACCUUUACUCCAGUUCCCAACAAGUUCCUCAUCUCCAUCUGAGACCACCUCAGCCUGGACUUUAUUGUGCAUAUCACUAUCAACAUUUUGGUCAAAGCCAUUCAACAGUCUCUAGGAAGUUCCAAACUUUCCCACAUUUUCCUUUCUUCUUCUGAGCCCUCCAAACUAUUCCACCCUCUGCCUGUUACCUAGUUCCAAAUUCACUUCCACAUUUUGGGUAUCUUUACAGCGGCACCACACUCUACUGGUACCAGUUUACUAUAUUAGUUCAUUCUCACACUGCAUUAAGACAUACCUCGAGACUGGGUAAUUUAUAAAGAAAAAGAGGUUUAAUGGAAUCACAGUUCCACAUGGCGGGGGAAGCCUCAUAAUCAUGGAGGAAGGUGAAGGAGGAACAAAGGUAUGUCUUACACGGCGGCAGGCAAGAGACCAUGUGUAGGGGAACUGCCCUUUAUAAAACCAUCCAAUCUAGUGAGACAUUCACUAUCAUGAGAACGACAUGGGAAAAACCUGCCCCCAUGAUUCAGAUACCUCCCACUGGGUCCCUCCCAUGACACACAGGGAUUAUGAGAGCUACAAUGCAAGAUAAGAUUUGGGUGAGGACACAGCCGAACCAUAUCACUUGGGAAUUCCCUGCAUCCUACCCAGACCUUUGUAAGCUGGUCUCAGCCUGCCCAAUUUGAAUGUGCUGGUUCUUCCAGAUCCCUGAUGCAUACCAUUGUCUUGGCCAGGCCCAUCACAUAAUGAUUUUGAAUCUUUUGACAGUAUUCACCAUAUAAUAUGGCUACUUGAAGUAAAUGUUUUCUAACCUGUCAUUUAAAGUGAUUUAUGUAUCAUCUAUAUAUCUACAUUGUAAGUUAAAAAAAAUCAACUGGAUUAAUAGGAAAGUAAAUGUCAAAAUAAGUGCAAAGGCAGGUUAGGUCCAAGGUUUUUUAAGUCCAGCAGUUCAGUAAGGCUAAGGCCCUCUUUCUUCUCUGCCAAACUCAAUGUGUGGGCUUGAUCUUCUAGAUCACUCUCUAAAGGUGGCAUGGUCCUUGCAGUUGAUUUAGAUAUAUUUUCAUAUCCUCCAGGCUAGGAAGCAUUGAUAGGCAAAAAAUAAAAUAAUGUACCUUCUUAAGAAUGAAGAUACUGGGGGCCAGGUACAGUGGCUCACGUCUGUAAUCCCAGCACUUUGGGAGGCCAAGGCAGGCGGAUCAUGAGGUCAGGAGAUCAAGACCAUCCUGGCUAACAUGGUAAACCCCAUCUCUACUAAAAACACACACAAAAAAAUUAGCCGGGUGUGGUGGCAGUCACCUGUAGUCCCAGCUACUUGGGAGGCUGAGGCAGGAGAAUGGUGUGAACCCGGGAGGCGGAGCUUGCAGUGAGUGGAGAUUGUGCCACUGCACUCCAGCCUGGGCGAUAGAGCAAGACUCUGUCUCAAAAAAAAAAAAAAAAAAAAAAAAAAAAAGAAUGAAGAUACAUUUUCAGAAGAUUCUUAGUAGAGUAACAUUCAAAUCUGUUUAGCAAGAACCACUUAAUUGCUUGUCUACAUCAAUUAGCUGCAAAGGGAGUGGGGCCCUUAUGAACACAUAAAAGGAAUCCAAACCUGCCUUUUAGAAUCUGUGAAGCAAGCAUGAGUUAAAUAAAGGAGGGUGGAUACCUAAAAAAAAAAUCAAUAUCAUGUCAGAAAGAAAGAAGCAGCUUUGAAUGUCAGGUAGGCAAUAAAUAGUAACUGAUACACUAAAAUCUUUCCAUUUUGUCCUCCGUCCAUCCAUCCAUCCAUCCAUCCAUCCAUUCAUCCAUCUCAUAAUAAACUAAUGCCACAUAAAACUGAAAUCAUGUAUUUGCUAUUUCUUCCCCUUAAAAAUUUUUGAAUGUGACUCAUGUUCACAACACACUGAAUUUAGUGUGCUGGUUUACUUAAUUUUUUUGUUUUUUUCAACAGACUGCUUACUUGUUAAGGUAAGAAGCACCUGUGAGUCUACUACUCAUUGCUUUAACCUGGCCAUAAUUUACAUUUAGCUUUAUAGUCCCCCUACAUUUCAAAACCUUCUCUUCUUCCCACCAAAAGUAACAGUCAUCCCACCACUUUGUUAAUUAACCCAUUUUUAUUUAUGUAUUUUUGUUGCUUCUAUAAUUUUGCCAAUAUAUUUUAUUUCUAACUUUAUAGAAAACAUAUACUAAGCAAUCUUCUUUCCCCACUCAAUAGUAUAUUUCUAAAUAUACUAUUUAGAAAUAUAAUAUAUAUUAUAUUAUAUUUAGAAAUAUAAUAUAUAUUAUAUUAU